rnacentral:rRNA from 1 species
CCUACGGGAGGCAGCAGUAGGGAAUCUUUCACAAUGGGCGAAAGCCUGAUGGAGCAACGCCGCGUGCAGGAUGAAGGCCUUCGGGUUGUAAACUGCUUUUAUAAGCGAGAAAUAUGAUGGUAACUUAUGAAUAAGGAUCGGCUAACUACGUGCCAGCAGCCGCGGUCAUACGUAGGAUCCGAGCAUUAUCCGGAGUGACUGGGUGUAAAGAGUUGCGUAGGUGGCAUAAUAAGUAGCUAGUGAAAUCUGGUGGCUCAACCAUUCAGACUAUUAGCUAAACUGUUAAGCUCGAGACCGUUAGGGGUAACUGGAAUUUCUAGUGUAGGAGUGAAAUGCGUAGAUAUUAGAAGGAACACCAAUAGCGUAGGCAGGUUACUGGGACGGUUCUGACACUAAGGCACGAAAGCGUAGGGAGCAAACGGGAUUAGAUACCAGGGUAGUC